CAUGCAGUCGAGCGAACAGAGAAGGAGCUUGCUCCUUUGACGUUAGCGGCGGACGGGUGAGUAACACGUGGGCAACCUACCUUAUAGUUUGGGAUAACUCCGGGAAACCGGGGCUAAUACCGAAUAAUCUAUUUCACUUCAUGGUGAAAUACUGAAAGACGGUCUCGGCUGUCGCUAUAAGAUGGGCCCGCGGCGCAUUAGCUAGUUGGUGAGGUAACGGCUCACCAAGGCGACGAUGCGUAGCCGACCUGAGAGGGUGAUCGGCCACACUGGGACUGAGACACGGCCCAGACUCCUACGGGAGGCAGCAGUAGGGAAUCUUCCACAAUGGGCGAAAGCCUGAUGGAGCAACGCCGCGUGAGUGAAGAAGGUUUUCGGAUCGUAAAACUCUGUUGUAAGGGAAGAACAAGUACAGUAGUAACUGGCUGUACCUUGACGGUACCUUAUUAGAAAGCCACGGCUAACUACGUGCCAGCAGCCGCGGUAAUACGUAGGUGGCAAGCGUUGUCCGGAAUUAUUGGGCGUAAAGCGCGCGCAGGCGGUCCUUUAAGUCUGAUGUGAAAGCCCACGGCUCAACCGUGGAGGGUCAUUGGAAACUGGGGGACUUGAGUGCAGAAGAGGAAAGUGGAAUUCCAAGUGUAGCGGUGAAAUGCGUAGAGAUUUGGAGGAACACCAGUGGCGAAAGCGAC
rnacentral:rRNA from 1 species